UACGAAGGGGGCUAGCGUUGCUCGGAAUUACUGGGCGUAAAGCGCACGUAGGCGGCUUUCUAAGUCGGGGGUGAAAUCCUGGAGCUCAACUCCAGAACUGCCUCCGAUACUGCGAGUCUCCGAGUCCGGGAGGGGUGAGUGGAACUGCGAGUGUAGAGGUGAAAUUCGUAGAUAUUCGCAAGAACACCAGUGGCGAAGGCGGCUCACUGGCCCGGUACUGACGCUGAGGUGCGAAAGCGUGGGGAGCAAACAGG
rnacentral:rRNA from 1 species